GACGAACGCUGGCGGCGUGCUUAACACAUGCAAGUCGUACGGUAAGGCCCUUUCGGGGGUACACGAGUGGCGAACGGGCGAGUAACACGUGAGUAACCUGCCCACAACUUUGGGAUAACGCUAGGAAACUGGUGCUAAUACUGGAUAUGUGCUCCUGCUGCAUGGUGGGGGUUGGAAAGCUCCGGCGGUUGUGGAUGGACUCGCGGCCUAUCAGCUUGUUGGUGGGGUAGUGGCCUACCAAGGCGGCGACGGGUAGCCGGCCUGAGAGGGUGACCGGCCACAUUGGGACUGAGAUACGGCCCAGACUCCUACGGGAGGCAGCAGUGGGGAAUAUUGCACAAUGGGCGCAAGCCUGAUGCAGCAACGCCGCGUGCGGGAUGACGGCCUUCGGGUUGUAAACCGCUUUCAGCAGGGACGAAGCUUUUUGUGACGGUACCUGCAGAAGAAGCACCGGCUAACUACGUG
rnacentral:rRNA from 1 species